GACGAACGCUGGCGGCGUGCUUAACACAUGCAAGUCGAACGGAAAGGCCCUGCUUUUGUGGGGUGCUCGAGUGGCGAACGGGUGAGUAACACGUGAGUAACCUGCCCUUGACUUUGGGAUAACUUCAGGAAACUGGGGCUAAUACCGGAUAGGAGCUCCUGCUGCAUGGUGGGGGUUGGAAAGUUUCGGCGGUUGGGGAUGGACUCGCGGCUUAUCAGCUUGUUGGUGGGGUAGUGGCUUACCAAGGCUUUGACGGGUAGCCGGCCUGAGAGGGUGACCGGCCACAUUGGGACUGAGCUACGGCCCAGACUCCUACGGGAGGCAGCAGUGGGAAAUAUUGCACAGUGGGCGGAAGCCUGAUGCAGCAACGCCGCGUGCGGGAUGACGGCCUUCGGGUUGUAAACCGCUUUCGCCUGUGACGAAGCGUGAUUGACGGUAAUGGGUAAAGAAGCACCGGCUAACUACGUG
rnacentral:rRNA from 1 species